rnacentral:rRNA from 1 species
AACGGGUGAGUAAUAUAUCGGAACGUACCCUGGAGUGGGGGAUAACGUAGCGAAAGUUACGCUAAAUACCGCAUACGAUCUAAGGAUGAAAGUGGGGGAUUCGCAAGAACCUCAUGCUCCUGGAGCGGCGAUAUCUGAUUAGCUAGUUGGUGGGGUAAAGGCCUACCAAGGCAUCGAUCAGUAGCUGGUCUGAGAGGACGACCAGCCACACUGGAACUGAGACACGGUCCAGACUCCUACGGGAGGCAGCAGUGGGGAAUUUUGGACAAUGGGCGAAAGCCUGAUCCAGCAAUGCCGCGUGAGUGAAGAAGGCCUUCGGGUUGUAAAGCUCUUUUGUCAGGGAAGAAACGGUGAGGGCUAAUAUCCCUUGCUAAUGACGGUACCUGAAGAAUAAGCACCGGUAACUACGUGCCAGCAGCCGCGG